UGGUUAUCCCUGUCCUCUUCG
rnacentral:miRNA from 1 species